UACAGGGGGUGCAAACGUUGCUCGGAAUUAUUGGGCGUAAAGGGCGCGUAGGCGGCUUUGCAAGUGGCGGGUGAAAUCCCUCGGCUUAACCGAGGAACUGCCUGCCAGACUGUGAGGCUUGAGACCGGGAGAGGUGAGUGGAAUUCCCAGUGUAGCGGUGAAAUGCGUAGAUAUUGGGAGGAACACCGGUGGCGAAGGCGGCAUCCUGGACCAACACUGACGCUGAGGAGCGAAAGCCAGGGGAGCAAAGCGGGG
rnacentral:rRNA from 1 species